CCGGCACGGGUGAGUAACACGUAUCCAACCUGCCGUCUACUCUUGGACAGCCUUCUGAAAGGAAGAUAAUACAAGAUGGCAUCAUGAGUCCGCAUGUUCACAUGAUUAAAGGUAUUCCGGUAGACGAUGGGGAUGCGUUCCAUUAGAUAGUAGGCGGGGUAACGGCCCACCUAGUCUUCGAUGGAUAGGGGUUCUGAGAGGAAGGUCCCCCACAUUGGAACUGAGACACGGUCCAA
rnacentral:rRNA from 1 species